AAUGGAGGCAGCCUUGGUCAAGUUAUUGAGCAGGCUGGAUGUCUGGACCAUUCCACCUCUAAAUUUAUGAUUGCAGAGAUGGUCUCUGGAAUUAAAUUUCUCCAUCAGCAGGGCAUAAUUCACCGUGACCUAAAGCCUGAUAAUGUGCUGAUUGAUGAGAACGGUC